AAGAGGGGAACAGCUGGAACUUGACCUGUCCUCAGUGUAAUAAAACCUGACCGGGGUAGAAUGCAACAGCCUGUAUGGUGCCAAGGCUUCUCCUGAAAGAGGGAUUCUCAGUGUUAUCAGCUGAGCACUCAGGGGCCUCAGCUUUAUUAUACAGACCAUCGAGAAAGACAUGGUUCCUGCCCCAAGGAGCUCAUAGUCUAAUAUAACUGUACGGAGCAGACAUAGAGCAUGGGAUAGUGUGUCCAGUUCUGGUGCCCGCAACUCAAGAAGGAUGUUUAUAAAUUGGAGAUGGUUCAGGGGAUAGACACAAGAAUGAUUAAAGGAUUAGAAAACCUGCCUGAUAGUGACAGACACAAGAAGCUGAAUCUGUUUAGCUUAACAAAGAGAAGGUGAAGGGAUGACUUGAACACAGGAAACAAAUAUUUAAUAAUGGGCCCUUCAAGCUAGCAGACAAAGGUAUGACACGAUCCAAUGGCUGGAAGAUGAAGCUAGACAAAUCCGGACUGGAUUCUCCAUCACUGUCCAUUUUUAAAUCAAGAUUGGAUGUUUUUCUGCUCUAGUUCAAACAGGAAUUAUUUCUGGGAACUUCUGUGUGAUACAGAAGGUCAGAUUAGCCUUAGAAUUUAUGAAUGGUUACUACUAGAAAUCUGCAGCUAAGGUAUGUUAGUCAAUGUGUGCAUCAGCCUUCACAAGCUAAUCAGGGCUGGCCCAAUAGUUAGAUACAAGAUCUCCAGGAGACAAUGACCCAGGUCCAAGCACAGUGCUAGGUGGUGGUGUGACAUUCUGUACCUUGGGGGAGCACCCUGUAAUCCCCAUAUUCCUCAUUUAUAUAUAAUUGUGAUUUUGCAUAUAAAGCAGGCCGUGUGAGGUGUCGGGAAAGGUUAUGAUCUGCUGAAAGUCAUUGUUCUAUCCAUAUAUGUAUGUCAUUAACACACAUGAAGUUAUGUGAAUUGUGUUGUAUGGUUGUCAGUAAAACAUGCUGUAAGUUGGGGAAUCAGACAGGUAUUAGCUCCUCAGAGACAACAGCAAGGAAAGUAACCAACGCUCGGGGGGGGGGGGGGGGGGGUGUCAAACAACCCAUCAACAGCGAUUGUCCAGCAAGGGAGCUACAAUUCAAUGACUCCCUGCAUGAGGCCACACCAGGGGAGUUGCUCAACCUUGCCUGGAGACUCAGCAAUGCCCCUCAGACAUGCCUGGACUUGUGUGUUCCCCAAGCACAUGGGACUGAGGGUAUAAAACAGAACAGAGCAGGCCCAUGUUUCGUCUUUUCUCCUGGCCCCACCUAUGCUGCAAGCAACAAAGACACUGAAGCCUUGUCUACAUUGGCAAGUUUCUGUGCAGUAAAGCAGCUUUCUGCGUUGUAACUCCCGAGGAGUUCACACUGCCACGCCACUUAGUGCUCAGAAACUGCACAGUAUCAGCGCUGUAAAACCACCCCGAUGAGAAGCGUACAGCUUUUUACGCCGGGGUUUGAGUGCCGCGGUGCCAGUGUAGACACCCUGGUUGAUUACAGCAUUGUGAUUGGCUUCCGGGGGGUGUCCCACAAUGCUGGUUCUCGCCUCUCUGAUCAUCGGUGUGAACUCUACUGCCCUACCCUCAAGUGACCAACUGUCAUCCCCACCCCGUAAAUUCCUUGAGAAUGUUGAAAGUCCCCUUCCUGUUUGCUCGGUGGUGCAUGGAGUGGUCUCAGUGCAUCUUUCCAGGUGACAAUGCCUGCUCCACGCACCAGGCAAUCCCUCACUUGGAGCAAUGAUGAGCUGAUGGACCUUAUUGGCAUUUGGGGAGAGGAGGCUGACCCCCAGCUGCGCUCCAGCCGUAGGAAUUAUGAUACCUACGGACAGAUUUCACGAUGCAUGACAGAAAGGGGCCAUGACCGGGACACACUGUAGUGCAGGGUCAAAGUGAAGGAGCUGUGGAACGCCUACCACAAGGUGCAGGAGGCAAACCGCUGCUCCAGUGCUGCACCCACAAGCUGCUGGUUCUACAAAGAGCUGGACGCAAUACUUGGUGGCGACUCCACCUCCAUUGCGAAGGCCACUGUGGAUACUUCGGUGGCUCACUUGCCAGUCAAGAGCGGACUGAGCCAGGAGGAGGAAAUCUUAGACAAGGAUGUGGAGGGGGACCCAGAGGCAGAAGACAGCUCAGAGAUCAGUGGUGCAUGCAGCCCGGAGUUCUUCUGUACUCCAGAGGAGGCUAGCCGGUCACAGCUGUCAGAGCUUGGCAAAGCGCAAACAGGAGAGGAGGCCCCUGAUAUGACGUUGGGAGCCCAGCCCCCCUCUUUGUUAUCUCUGGCUGAACGGCUGCACAGAAUAAGAAAGCGGCCAUGAAGAACUAAGGAGGACUUUCUGCGUGAUGUCACGAUGCACUCCACCGCUAAGAAACAGGAAUUGAAGGAGGGGAGGGACAGCAAGAAGAGGGACUGAAAGGAGAACGCGGCAGGCCAUAACUAAGCCACUGAGCAGCUCUUUAACAUUAUGGAGCACCAAGCAGACACGCUCCAGGCACUGCUAGCACUGCAAACCAAGCAGCUCCGCACCCACCCUCCCCUGCAGCCACUGUCGCAAAACUCUUUCCACUGUAUCCCCCUGACACCACCAACACACUCUUAUCAGCCUCCUGGCUCCAGUCUGUACUCACUGCAUUCCACUCCUGCCCUGUCACAGUUCAGCCCUGUGGACUCCCAGUACCCACUGCACUCAACACCCAUCCCUCUGCAGGUUAGCCGUGAUGAAGUACUGUACCUGCUGCACUGUGCUCCAAAGGAGAAGGUUGGAUAUGAUACCUGGACAUACACAAACCUUUAACCGCCUCGGGACCCCAUCUCCUGGGACCCUCCCUUACCCCAUCCUCCUCAGUGCUGAUGUGUUCUUUUUGGUUGUGUCUCUCCUCCGGUUGUUGUUUUUUAAUAAAAUAAUUGUUUGGGUUUGAAAGCAA